rnacentral:SRP_RNA from 1 species
GCGGGGCGCGGUGGUGCGUGCUUGUAGUCCCAGCUACUCAGGAGGCUGAGGCUAGAGGACCGCUCGAGUCCAGGAGUUCUGGGCUAUAGUGCGCUAUGCCAAUUGGGUGUCCGCACUAAGUUCAGCAUCAAUACAUGGUACCUCCCAGGAGCAGGGGCCCACCAGGUUGCCUAAAGAGGGGUAAAACAGCCCAGGUUGGAAACGGAGCAGGUCAAAACUCUCGUGCUGAUCAGCAGUGGGAUCACACCUGUGAAUAGCCACUGCACUCCAGCCUGGGUGACAUAGUGUGACCCUGUCUUU